rnacentral:rRNA from 1 species
UCCUGGCUUAGGAUGAACGCUGGCGGCAGGCUUAAUACAUGCAAGUCGAACGGUAAGGUCCGAAGUGGCAACACGGAGGAUACACGAGUGGCGCACGGGUGCGUAACGCGUAUGCAACCUGCCCCCGACCGGGACAAAACAGCUGGAAACGGCUGCUAAUAUCCCAUGGUCAUGCGGAAGGGCAUCCUUCUUCAUGUAAAGAUUCAUUGGUCGGGGAUGGGCAUGCGUAUUAUUAGGUAGUUGGCGGGGUAACGGCCCACCAAGCCGACGAUGAUUAGGGGUCCUGAGAGGGUUAACCCCCACACUGGAACUGAGACACGGUCCAGACUCCUACGGGAGGCAGCAGUAGGGAAUAUUGGGCAAUGGGAGCAAUCCUGACCCAGCCAUGCCGCGUGAAGGAAGACGGCCCUAUGGGUUGUAAACUUCUUUUGCCGCAGAGUAAACCCGGUCACGAGUGGUCGGUUGAGAGUAUGCGGCGAAUAAGUAUCGGCUAACUCCGUGCCAGCCGCAGC